rnacentral:lncRNA from 1 species
GUCACGGGGCGCGCGCUGAUGCGAACGGGGUGACAGAUGGGAACGCCUCCGAGACCGCCAGCGACGACCCCGCUCGGGCAGCCCCGGAUUUCCUCGGCUGCACCGGCGCCGGCAGCGGGGACCGAGGCCCGCGUCCGUUCGGGUCGGGCCGGGGCUUAGCCCCGCGCCCCACGGGCGGCCGGGACCCCACCCGGACCCCGCCGCGGUUCUGGGCCGCCGGAGCCUCGCGCCGCCUCUCGGGGACCUUGUCCCCUGGCCUCCGGCCUCUCGGGCCCCUCGCCUGCCGUCUAGGAGGGAAGGGGCCUUGGAUCUGUGCCCCGCCCAUGGAACAGCGCCCGGGCUCGGAGAGGCCCCGCGAGGCCGCAGGCGCAGACCCUCCCGGAGGGCUGGGCGGGCACCGGGGUCUUCGGCUGGCUUGAGGGACCCGACCCCUGGGGGAGGAAUUUGGGGUCUGUGUGUCCGAAUGAACGCGGGGGUUCAGAUGAGUCUGUGGUGCCCCCGCUUUCCAUCUCCUCCGGCCCCGGCCCCAGAGGACUGUCUGAGAGGCCGGUGGCCGCGGAUCCUGGACGCGCCUCCCUCCUGCCUGUGGUUUCCCUUUAUUCCGGCAGCGGCGCGAGCCCACCCUUCACAUACAGGAGCUACAUCCAGAAGCUUCUCCUGGGGCCACAGCGUGGGCUUCCGAGACUCUGCGUGACCCCAGCUCUGCCCCUUUGGGGCUGCGGGUGAAGCCCUCAGGACCCUCCGCUUUCUAAGGAAUGAAUCCCCGAGUGUGGCAGGAAGGACACAGCCGGCUCCUGACGCACACCUGAUUUGAUUC